rnacentral:rRNA from 1 species
UACGUAGGUGGCAAGCGUUGUCCGGAUUUACUGGGCGUAAAGAGCGCGCAGGCGGUCUUUUAAGUCGAAUGUGAAAGCCCCCGGCUCAACUGGGGAGGGUCAUUCGAUACUGAUCGACUUGAAGGCAGGAGAGGGUAGUGGAAUUCCCGGUGUAGUGGUGAAAUUCGUAGAUAUUCGGAAGAACACCAGUGGCGAAGGCGGCUCACUGGACCGGUAUUGACGCUGAGGUGCGAAAGCGUGGGGAGCAAACAGG